rnacentral:lncRNA from 10 species
GGGUUCCUCCUCUCAAAAUAGGAGCUAUUUUCAAAAAGUCUCUUGGAAAAAAAGCCCUGUUUUAAAAUUGGGGUGUUCAGGAUUGGCCAUCUGCUCACCAUGGGGUUUUAAGACCUUUGCCCAGAACCCUGCAACCAACUUAGAACUGACGUCUUUACUUUUGAAGGCCCCACUCCACACCAUAUUAAAUUAAUUAAAAUCAACCCGCAUUACAGGCAUAUCUCAGGCAUCAUGCCCUCAGAAAGGAGUUGCAGCUGAUCACUUGACAAUGUUGUAAGGCAUUAAACAUGCAUUCAUUUCAGCCUUGCAGUUUUCACAUUUAGGAGCCAAUUGUCUUAGGUCUAAAGCAUUCAUGCCGAAGCAUUGUUAUGGGCCCCAGACACUAUGCUUCCCAGCCUUAAUGGCCUCUGCAAUGCUGGUUCCUACUGGCCCACCCCUGGGUUCUGGCCGGCUAGCCCGCGCCACCUCACUGCUCCCCCAUUCAAGUGUGCCUUAAAUGUGUGGUUUCCAAACUCAUCUACACUUUAGGGUCACCUGAGAUUUUUUUUUUAAAUCUUCCAAAACCCAGGCCACACCCAAGAACAAUUAAACCUCAACCUCUGGAAUGGGACAUAGACUCCGUUUUUUGUUUUGUUUUGUUUUUGAGACAGGGCCUCGCUCUGUUACCCAGGCUGGAGUGCAGUGGCACAAUCAUAGCUCACUACAGGCUCCAACUCCUGGGCUCAAGAAACCCUCCCACUUCAACCUCCACGGUAGCUGGGAUCACAGGCGGGCACCACCACGCCCGGCUAAUUUUUAAAUUUUUUAUAGAGACAGUAUCUCCUUAUGUUCUCCAGGCUAGUCUCAAACUCCUGGGCUCAAGUGAUACUCCCGCCUCACCGUCCCAAACUGCUGGGAUUAUAGGCAUGAGCCACCAUGUCUGGACAUCAGCAUCUGUAUUUUUUGAAGCACAGACGAGUUUGGGAACUACCGCGCUAGACUGAGUUUCGAUUCCUAGCCCUGUCUGACCGUAGGAUUCGGCUGGGCUGCUUCUGAAAACAGAGCUCCCCAGGCUCCUUCCCAGAUGUUGCAUUUCCCAAGACCACCCUGGCUGCCACACCCCCAUUCUGUGCCUAUAAAAACCCUGAGACCCUAGCAGGCAGACACAGGCAGCUGGACUUUGAGAGGAGCACAUCAGCAGAGGAACACAAGGGUGCUGGACUUCAACAGGAACGCACCAAUGGGCACCGUCACACCGCAGGCCACUGACUGCAGAACAACGCAGAGUUUGGCUGGGACAUUCGGAGAAGAGUCCGGCCACUCAUCCAACUCCAGGGGUAAACCAUCUCCCUUCUGGCACGCCCAUCUGCUGAGAGAUACUUCCACUCAAUAAAACCUUGCACUCUCACGCCUGUAAUCCCAGAACUUUGGGAGGCCGAGGCGGGCAGAUCACGAGGUCAGGAGAUCCAGACCAUCCUGGCUAACACAGUGAAACCCCAUCUCUACUAAAAAUACAAAAAAAUUAGCCAGGCGUGGUGGCGGGUGCCUGUAGUCCCAGCUACUUGGAAGGCUGAGGCAGGAGAAUGGCGUGAACCCAGGAGUAGGAGCUUGCAGUGAGCUGAGAUCACACCACUUCUGGUACACCAAGGCAAGAACCCCGGGACAAAGAGAGCCCUCUCUCCUUGCAAUAAGGCAGGGGUCUAAUUGAGCCGACUAACACAAGCUACCUACAGACGGCUAAACUAAAAGAGCACCCUGUAACACACGCCCACUGGGGCUUCAACUAUAAACAUUCACCCCUGGACACUGCCAUGGGUCUCCCUGCCUGUCUGCAUGCUCUCCUAGAGGUUUGAGCAGUGGGGCACUGAAUAAACGAACCACACCCGCAUCGCAUGCCCUUCGAGGGGGACAACAGAACUUUUCCCAUUUCAUCUGAGAGGCCAAGGCAGGAGGAUCGCUUGAGCCCAUGUGUUUGAGACCAGCCUACACAACAUAGCAAGACACCAUCU